AAUUGAAGAGUCUGAUCAUGGCUCAGAUUGAACGUUGGCGGCAGGUCUCAUACAUGCAAGUCGAACGAGGCGCCGGCUUCGGCCGGAACCUAGUGGCGGACGGGUGAGUAACGCGUAGGAAUCUACCUAGUAGUGGGGAAUAACUCGAGGAAACUCGUGCUAAUACCGCAUACGACCUAAGGGUGAAAGCGGGGGCUCUUCGGACCUCGCGCUAUUAGCGGAGCCUGCGUUGGAUUAGCUUGUUGGUGGGGUAAUAGCCUACCAAGGCAACGAUCCAUAGCUGGUCUGAGAGGAUGAUCAGUCACACUGGAACUGAGACACGGUCCAGACUUCUACGGAAGGCAGCAGUAAAGAAUAUUGCGCAAUGGGCGAAAGCCUGACGCAGCCAUGCCGCGUGUGUGAAGAAGGCCUUUGGGUUGUAAAGCACUUUCAGUAGUGAGGAAAAGCGAACUGCUAAUACCAGUUCGUCAUGACAUUAGCUACAGAAGAAGCACCGGCUAACUCCGUGCCAGCAGCCGCGGUAAUACGGAGGGUGCGAACGUUAAUCGGAAUUACUGGGCGUAAAGCGCGCGUAGGCGGUAUGUUAAGUGGGAUGUGAAAGCCCCGGGCUCAACCUGGGAACUGCAUUUCAAACUGACAAACUAGAGUGUAGUAGAGGGAGGUGGAAUUUCCUGUGGAGCGGUGGAAUGCGUAGAUAUGGGAAGGAACACCAGUGGCGAAGGCGACCUCCUGGACUAACACUGACGCUGAGGUGCGAAAGCGUGGGGAGCAAACAGCGAUUAGAUACCCUGGUAGUCCACGCUGUAAACGAUGAGAACUAGCCGUCGGGCCUUUCGGGGUUUGGUGGCGUAGCUAACGCGCUAAGUUCUCCGCCUGGGGAGUACGGCCGCAAGGUUAAAACUCAAAUGAAUUGACGGGGGCCCGCACAAGCGGUGGAGCAUGUUGUUUAAUUCGAUGCAACGCGAAAAACCUUACCACCUCUUGACAUCCACGGAACUGAUCGUAAUGAGAAGGUGCCUUCGGGAACCGUGUGACAGGUGUUGCAUGGCUGUCGUCAGCUCGUGUCGUGAGAUGUUGGGUUAAGUCCC
rnacentral:rRNA from 1 species